UUAACUUCAGUGUUUAACAUGAGGUGGGCGU
rnacentral:piRNA from 1 species